rnacentral:rRNA from 1 species
GACGAACGCUGGAGGCGUGCUUAACACAUGCAAGUCGAACGAUGAAAUGGAGCUUGCUCCAUGGAUUAGUGGCGAACGGGUGAGUAACACGUGAAUAACCUGCCCUUAAUUUUGGAAUAACCCAGGGAAACCUGGGCUAAUACCGGAUAAGUAAACCUGUGGCAUCACAUGGUUUUGGAAAGUUUUUCGAUUAAGGAUGGAUUCGCGGCCUAUCAGCUUGUUGGUGAGGUAAUGGCUCACCAAGGCGACGACGGGUAGCCGGCCUGAGAGGGUGAACGGCCACACGGGGACUGAGACACUGCCCAGACUCCUACGGGAGGCAGCAGUGGGGAAUAUUGCGCAAUGGACGAAAGUCUGACGCAGCGACGCCUCGUGAGGGACGAAGGUCUUCGGAUUGUAAACCUCUUUCAUCAGGGACGAAGCGAAAGUGACGGUACCUGCAGAAGAAGCACCGGCUAACUAUGUGCCAGCCGCCGCGGUAA